CUCAACAACCAUCAUCAGAUCACAAAAAUCCAAAAACGUUGACGGCCUCAUCUGUGGGCCCUUAUAGAUGUCGCUUGGCAUCUUGGAUCAAGAGCGAUUUCAUAUGAAAUUACGUUAUCAUGGCAGCAUUUAAAAUAGUGCAAGUCUUAUCUGUAGUUCAGAUUACUACGAAAUAUCGUUUGUACAAAGAAAAAAGAAAUACAUAACUUUGUGGUAUUAUUCCUUCGAUAGAUGUUUGACAUUUAAAAAGAAUACCACCAAUUUAAAAAACUUUUUGACAGGUAAUUUUUUUUUUUUAUUACAAGAGAGUUUCUCUGAUGAUUAAAGUCGGCCACUUGAAAAACUAGGAGUAAGAAGGAAGAAGGAAGCUUCCAUGCAAUUCCAUGUAAAAUUCCAAAACCUGCAGAGACGUAAGAAUCCGGGAAGCGUGUGAAACAUUUACCUGCGUUUUCUCUAGAAGCCCAUCUUUUCUUUUUAGUCCUCCAGAUCAAGAGAAUUAAACACAAAAAACCACCUACCUUCUAGAUUGACAGAGACAUUUCAAAUAUAAUAAACCCUUCGUUGUUAUCUCAUGUGUUUCUAUACCCUUGUUCCUUAUAUAUGUUUUUUCUAGUUGGAAUUAAAAUAUCUACUUCUGAACCCACUACCAUUACUAAUUCCUGGACCUUCUGCAGCUGCAAAAAGCACAGAUCUUGCUGGGAAAAAAGCACAGAUAUGAGCCUUCCAAAGUAUUCUCUUCUUCCUUCUUGUUGCUUCUGGUGGUUGUUUUUGCGUCUGGGAAAUCUUCAGCUGCUGAAGGAAGACCACUCUCCCUCUUGCCACAACAAGGAUAUGCGCAGGUUUUUGGUACACUUGGAAUAGUUUGCGAGUGUUGUGAUGGAGGUGAAUGCACAAGUACCUGGACUGGGUCUUGCAGUAAUCUGACAUGUCUUCCUUGGAAACAGCAUUAACAGCCCUAGAGAUUUUUUUUUUUUUUUUUGUUUUCUUUGGCUUUCUCUUCUUCUUCUAUAUACUUCGUAAAAUUAAUAUACUAGUGGAAUUAGAGGGUUAUUUUUCCCCUUUUAAGCUGUGUUAUGUAAAUCGUUAUUUUACAGCUAAGGGAGUUCUAUGAGUUCACUGUUU